rnacentral:rRNA from 1 species
CAGUCGCCACGGGAAAACGAAGGGGGCUAGCGUUGCUCGGAAUGACUGGGCGUAAAGCGUGCGUAGGCGGCUAAUUGAGUCGGAUGUGAAAUCCCCGAGCUUAACUUGGGAAUUGCAUUCGAUACUGGUUAGCUAGAGUGUGGGAGAGGAUGGUAGAAUUCCAGGUGUAGCGGUGAAAUGCGUAGAGAUCUGGAGGAAUACCGAUGGCGAAGGCAGCCAUCUGGCCUAACACUGACGCUGAGGUACGAAAGCAUGGGGAGCAAACAGGAUUAGAUACCCCUGUAGUCCCUGUCUCUUAUAC